rnacentral:lncRNA from 1 species
CACUAAUCCAAAACCCGAUUCUCCGGUGCCGGAACUCCAAUCUACGGUUUCUCCAAAUGCCAAUUCUCUCGACUCAGAGACCCAAGAUUCUAGGGUUACAGUUUCUUCAGAGGUAAAUUUUGAACUUUCAGAUCAAAAAACUGUUGAUUUAAACAAUAGAACUGAGAAGUUUUGAGGUUCUAAUACCAAAUCGAAAUCGUUGUUUUCGGAAUUCGAUGAUUAUGUUGCUGGAAUGAGAGAUAGUGAUUUAGGUCAUGGUUUUGAAAUUGGUGAUAUGGUUCGGGGGAAGGUGAAAGCUCAUCCAUGGUGGCCUGGGCAUAUAUAUAACGAAGCAUUUGUGCCGCCUUCAGUGUGUAGAACUAAGAGGGAAGGGAAUUUAUUGGUGGCAUUCUUUGGAGAUAGUAGUUAUGGGUGGUUUGAACCAUCUGAAUUUAUCGCCUGGGCAUAUAUAUAAUGAGUUAUUUUUACAGUAGUAGACGAAGACAUUGUUGGUAUAUAAUGUUAGAAUUUUUCCCUUAUUAUACUUCAUUAAUCUAAUUUGUCAUUAUUUCAUUUUGCUCUUUUUCAGAAAUGUCAUAUGCAGACUCCACAUUCCCUAAAGGAAAAAGACCAGAUGAACUGUUUGUCUUUUUCCAGUCAAAAAGCCAUUAAAAAAUAUUGUUAAAGUGGAGUUGAAACUUUUGCAGACCUUCCACUAUUUGUCUUCUAGAGGUAUAUUGUUCAACUUUGUCAUUGAAGUUUUUUAUUAUUGUAUUUCAUGUGAAAAGUAGCAUAUGAGGAGAUUUUAUUGGACAAUUAACACAUGUUGAUAUUCAAAGUUAAAUGUAAUCAUAGAAAUUAUAAGCCAUGUAUAAUAAUCUGCACUUUAAAUUUUAUAGCACAUUACUGAUACCAUGGUUAUAUAACAUUUUUUUAAAAUAAUAAGGAGAUCAAGCCUUCAUACUAUGUUAAAAUAUAAGUGUACUUUACAUAUGUAUAUAGUAUAAAAUGCAGCAGAGGGGUAUAGGGUAAUGUUUGUUCUUCUAUUUUUUUUGUAGGGGAGUAGUUUCUGAUUCUGUUGUUCUAUUUCUUAGAUUAUAUGGAGAAGUAGUUGAGAGAGAUUGGUUUGGUGAAAAAGGAGUUUGUGUGUAUUAGUGUGAUAUGAUUGAAGGUGUCAACUUAUCUCAUUCCAUGCAUUAAUAGAUACAGCUAGGCGUGUGAAGAAACGUGUCUCUCUCACCAUUGAGUCAUUGACUAAACUAAAUGCAGACUUGUACAUGGUUGUUAGCAAAAUAUGUUUUUUUUUAUAAACAAAAAGUGUCGCAGAUUACAGAUCUUACAGAAGACUAUGAAAGAAACUGAAAACAGUUCUUUGAACAAUCUCAAGAUAAGAUUUUCAAACUCUUUGAAAUUGUGUCAUGAUCACAAUUGUAAUUAAGAUUUUCAAUUAGCUAUACUUCCCACAUAGGGUAUAAAUAUGAUUUUGGAAGCAUGUAAUACUGCACCUAAAACAGUUAUUUUAGAAAUCUUAAUUAUAGUUAUAGUAAAGCAUACAAAAAGUAUCAUUGCUUGGUUAAUUAAAAAAGGGAAAAUUAAGUUGUCUUCUACCUUAAACCACUUUUUAAUCAUAUCACACUAAUAUACACAAACUCCUUUCAGUAAUUCUUAGAUUGUGUUAAAAACCUAUGGUUGAAAAUGAAUAAAUAAAGAACAUGAAGUUGCAGUCUAAAGAGUAGGAUGUUCAUUAUGAAGUUUAUAAUGAACAUAUAUUAUAGAACAUAGAAAAUCAGAAGAAAAAAAGCAAAGAAGUGAAAAGUACCUGAAAAUGUUUGAAGUUACACAAACUGGUUCAUGAAAUAAUGAUGCAACCUAUGGUAGUUCCUAGUUAAGUGGUGAAAUCUGUACAAACAUACAGUCUGAAUUAACAACAAAUAAAAACAGAAGAGAGAAAAAUAGAGGAAAAAACAGGAUGGUAUGAGAAAUACCUGAGAGUUGGAAGAAAUUAUUUUGUGAAGCCAAUAAAUUAUUGGCUCUAAUGAAACAAAUUCCAAGCCAAGAUGAGUAGUAGUAGCAUGUUCUUCAAUAAACAACACAAUAAAAGUAGAAGUUGUAGUGAGUUAUUGGUUAUUAAGAGAUCUUAAAUUUGUUAUAGUAGAGAGAAAAAUGAAAAAAGAAAUAGAGAAAGGAUGAGAAAUAGUGGAAGGUGUAUGUAUAGUAUUUUUUGUAAAAAAAUAACCUUCUUAGUAGAAGGUAGUAAUAAGCCAAGGAGUUGCCACGUUUUCUUCAAAAAUGCCCUUGAAUAUUGCCAUGAUAUAGACAAUGGCAGUUUUGUAACUGUUGAAAACCUUCUUCAACCAUGAUAUAGAUAAUGGCAGUUUUGUAACUUGGUGGUAUUGGUGUUCAGUUUUUUAACUGGCAUAAAAUGUGGCAUUAUCUUUGUGAAGUUUUUACCCAUGAUGAGGAUGAUUUUGCCAUGAUCUGUUUAACAUCUGCAUUGCAGUUGACAUGCUCUAAAUAUUUGCUUAUGAAUGUUUGUUUAUUGUUUUUUGUAUUACCAGAGUGACCCAUGAUUCUGGUUUCUCUUCAUGCUGCUGAGAUGGUAUAUUGAUUGAUGAUCAAUGAGGUGAUGUUGUGAGGCUAUGUGAUGGUUAUAGAAGAAACUUUUGGUAGAAAUUAAAAAAUAGUGAGGGGAAAAAUGGGGAUUCAGAAAUUACACCACAGUGUUGUGGUUAUACUAUGUAUUUUAUUAUCUUAACAUAUCACUUUUGUUUUGAAGUUACUUUAAUAAUAG